CAAAAGUUAUAUCCUGCUACUAUACGUAUAUGACUUUGCUUUAUCCGUCAUCAUAACCUAUCGAUAGAAGCAGUGGUUGCAGGAUAAACAAACACAACUGUACAAUCCAGUCAGAUAAUUCUUGCAAGAUGGCACAAAACGGCACAACGGAGAUUCGUCAGAAUAGUGUUCCCAAGAUGGCUGCAAAUGGCUUUGUUUCGAAAGAAAAGUCUGUUAAAACAUCCUCAGAACCUGGUGGAACAGCAAGGUUUCCAGCAGAGGAGGAACGUUUCCUGCGAGAUCUGUUUGAAAUGAUUUUGAAAGACGCUGUCAAGGAUUCGUUAAAUCCAAACAGUAAGGUGGUUAAUUUCAAGCACCCCCAGGAACUGACGAGUCUGUUGGAUCUGGAAAUCGACCACAAGAGGACGUCCAACGAGGAACUUAUCAAGCUGUCGCGCGAGAUCAUUAAAUACAGUGUGAAAUCAGGUCAUCCUCAUUUCUUUAACCAGCUCUAUGGAGGAUUCGACACAUACGGUCUAGCAGGGGCGUGGCUGACGGAUGCACUAAAUACCAGCCAGUACACUUUUGAAGUAGCGCCCGUGUUCACUUUGAUGGAGAAGACGGUGCUAGGCAAGAUGGGUCGUUUGGCUGGUUUCAAUGAUGGAGAUGGGAUAUUCUGUCCAGGUGGGUCUGUCUCUAACAUGUACGCGAUAAACUUGGCACGCUUUAAGAAGUUUCCUUCCGUCAAGACGGAUGGCAUGGCUGGUCUUCCCAAGAUGUGCAUCAUUACGUCGGAGGAGGGACACUACUCUAUGAAGAAGAUGGCCGCCACUCUUGGUAUGGGAAUGAACAGCAUCAUUCCAGUGCAGUGUGACGACCAAGGUCGAAUGAAGGUGGACAAGGUGGAGGAGGCGAUCAAAACAGCUCAGAAAAAUGGAAUGGUUCCAAUAAUGGUGAACGUGACAUCGGGCACGACGGUUCUGGGAGCGUACGAUCCGCUGGACGCCAUAGCAACCGUGUGCAAGAAACACGGAAUCUGGGUCCACUGUGACGGGGCCUGGGGCGCGGGCUGCCUGCUGUCGAAGAACCUCAAACACCUCAUGAAAGGAAUCGAAAAAGCUGAUUCCCUGACGUGGAACCCGCACAAGAUGAUGGGAUCACCGCUACAAACAUGUGCCUUCCUAACACAGCACAAGAAUCUGCUGGCGGAGUGUCAUUCUGCGAAGGCGAAGUACCUGUUCCAACAGGACAAGUUCUACGACGUGAGCUACGACACAGGCGACAAGUCCAUACAGUGCGGCCGCAAGGUCGACGUGCUCAAACUGUGGAUGAUGUGGAAGGCCAAGGGAGAUAACGAGUUCGCCAGAGACAUCGAAAACAUAUUCGACUGUGCAAGGUACUUGACAGAAAAACUUAAAAAAACAGAAGGGUUUCGAUUGGUUUUGCAAAAGCCCGAAUGCACCAAUGUUGGUUUCUGGUACAUACCGCCCAGUUUACGAGGUCAGAAGGAGACCAAGGAGUGGUGGGACAAGGUUUCCAAGGUUGCACCUGCGAUAAAGCGGCUGAUGACGGAACAAGGCACGCUUCUGGUUGGCUAUCAGCCAGACCGAGAGUGGGUCAACUUCUUCCGGAUGGUCAUCUCGAACACCGCGACCACUCACCAAGAAAUGGACUUCGUAGUAACGGAGAUCGACAGGCUCGGCAGAAGUUUGUGACUCUUGUCAGAAGAUCUAGCUGUUUAGUUACAAAACGGAAUGAUCUGAUAGUUUUCUGAUAGAGGUGAUGAUUAAGCUGCAAAUUUUAAAAACAAUUGGUGAAUUUUAUUUUAAAAUGACAGACACUCGCCAGAUUCACCCGUUGCGAAUUUUAAAAAUAAUUGGCAAAUUUUAUUUUAAAGUGAGAGACACUCGCCAGAUUCACCAACUGCAAAUUUUAUAAACAAUUUUAAUAUAUUUUGGCUGACCCUAGUUUUUUAACACUAAAACAUAUUUUUCAAUAUUAGAGCCAUUUUUGAUAAUUAAAAUCAGAUAUUACUUAGAUUUUAUUGGAUAGAUUAUCCAUUUCCAUACAUUCGAAGUGUUUCUGAUCAUCAUGCCUGGGCAUUGUAAAACAUUUUAGAAUCUGAACUCAACACUCAGACUUUAUCGUUAUGGCAACCCCAUACAAACAGCAUGCGUGUGAUGGCAUUUGAGAUUCAAUCUAGACUCUUAAAAACUUUUAUAAGCACGAGUCCUGGUGUGUCUUUAAUUCCAUCAAAUGAAUUUAUCUUAUUUUUAAAAAUGCACCUCUGAGAAGUAAUGGUUAUGAAGAUGACCUCUUGCCUACUUACAUGUACUGAGGGUACAUGUACUGACGUUUCAACGUCACAGACUCUGUUGUAACCUUGUCCAGAUGUGUUCGAGGUGUCUAUGUAAACCAGACUUAGUGUCCAUUUUCACAGGUCGAAACUAGGGUCUGUGACUUUAAUGUGAUGAAAAUAUUUCAUGUAAUAAUUGAUAUUUUGUUGGACAAUAACUGUAUGUUUCUGUUAUAUUUGAUAAUCAGGCGAAAGUUCCUGCUCACCCAGAGUUAGCCCUGCGAUUCAUUAUUCAUUCUGUUUCAGGCUUGAAUAAAUAAACGGUGAUUAAUCUAGGUAAAAGCAUUAUUGGCAGAAGUUAGGGGAUUUCGUUUACUAACAUGAGCUCAAAAUGGCUGUUUUAACUAAACAUAAUAUAUAAAUAAUCAACAGGGCCAUAGCUAGUGGGGGCAAAGGGAAGCAGUUGCCCCGAGAAACACCCCCCCCCCCCAAAAGAUAUAUAAAUAAAUAAAUUACUGGUUAUUGAUAUUAAUAUUUUAAGUAUGUAACCUCCCUAAAAUAGCUGUAAAAUGGUAUUUUAGUGUCUUUAGAUUUUAAAAUUUCCUUAUCCAUUCUGUUUUAGUCUUAAAUAAAAAAAUAAAAAAAUUGUAAAUAAUUUCAGUUUGGUUUGACGUAAGAAGAAAAGUAAAAGUGUUUAGGAAAGAACAAAAAAACCCACCCUAUUUUUGUGUGCAAUUUCGAAAAUGAUCGGCUCAGAAAUAAAUAACUUGUAUAGUAAAUUUCAUAGUCUGAAAAAAGGCGUUCUCUGUGGGACAGACUAUAUGUAAAAGCAUUAUUGGUAGAGGUUAAGGAAGUUUUUUUACUGUAGUCCCUUUUUUAAAAAUAAAAUAAAUAAUGCAAAACAAUAUCUUUAUUUUUGGGCUAUGAAAAUUCUGAAAGAUAUAAAACAUGAUUGUUUCACUUUGACAAUAUCAGAUUGAGUGGAAGCUGUCUAAACUGGACAUUCACGGAAUCAAGUAAAAAGUCUGGUUUUAAGCGUAGUUUUAUUUAAAAUGACACCCUGAAAAAUGUCUGCUAUUGGAGGGGGGGGGGGGGGGAAUUCUGGUUUAUGGAGGGUCCAGUUAUGACAGGUUCAGGACUUCUGGAAUUGUUAUAAAAAAUCCACUAGCCUUUGGAUCAGUGAUUUUAAAAAUUUACUAGCAAUGAAUAAAAAAUUUCACUAGCCCUACUUUAAAUAAGUAAAACGGUAUUACCGUCGGUAAUAAUCAUACAUGUAUUUGUCACCUAAAGAUGGAGAUGGAGCUUAAAAAGCCUUAGAUUGGGGGUGGGAAGAGGGGGCAGGGUAUUCAUAUUUACAAAAUAAGACUUAAAUGUAGUAAUAAUCAGACAUGUCACCUAAAGAGGGAGAUAGAGGUUAAAAAGCCUUAGAUUGGGGGUGGGAAGAGGGGGCAGGGUAUUCAUAUUUACAAAAUAAGACUUAAAUGUAGUAAUAAUCAGACAUGUCACCUAAAGAGGGAGAUAGAGCUUAAAAACCCUUAGACUGGGGGUGGGAAGAGGGGGCAGGGUAUUCAUAUUUACAAAAUAAGACUUAAAUGCAGCUUUUGACAAGGUGUUUUUUUUUCACCAGUCGUUGGGCUAGUUAUGGUAAUUUUAAUUUUAAUACAUUUUUUAAAAUCCAGAUUUUUAUUUUUUGUACUUUGGCAGGGUUUUCUCAUAGACCGUCAUAAUUUACACUCGGUGCAGCUAAAUGAGAACAUGUGCUGUGAUACUCCCAAUCUCGGGCUGAAUGUGGCUUUGGAUUGAAAUGACUUCUCUGAAUAAACACGGGUUUUACUGUGUAACAUUAGAAGUGUAAGGAGAUAGGUAGGUCAUAAUACAAUAAUAAUAUAUCAUAUUCAGAUAUGUGGAGCACAUAAUGUACAUUGCAUAAUUUAGACCAUAUUUAAGUAGAUCCAAUAGCCAAUGAUUAAUAAAUCAAUGUGCUCUAGUGAUGGUGUAAAACAAACUUAACUUGUUGAAAAAGCUAUAGGUAAUUAUUGAUUAAUGAAUUUUCCUAAUACUGAAUUACCAAAUGUUUGACAUCCAAUAGCCGAUGAUUAAUAAAUCAAUGUGCUCUAGCAGUGUUGUUAAACAAACCAAACUUCUUCUUUUUUAAAUAUUGAAUUGUACAUGUAGUUAUCUCCCUUGAAUGACAAUCCCAGUAAAAAUUCAGUAAGGUUAACGGGAUUUGUGUACAAAUAAAAAUAUAUGUAUUUAGGCUACAUAUACCAUUAGUGUAUUACUAUGUAUUCAACAAAGCCAGCUUGUCAGAUCUAAGCAAAGUAAAAAUUAUGUGGAUUCCGAGAACACUUUUCAGAUAGAAGAACUGCAAAUCAUGAAAAUAUAUGUAACAUGAUAUUAUUGGGUUGGGACAGGUUACACACUAAAAUAUAUCUUGCUCGCGUUAAUUUUAUGAUUUAUAGUAUAUUGAUAAUGACUUUCAGAUGAAAAAAAAUCUUUAAAUUUUAUUUUAAAAAUAAAUAAAAAAAUUAAUUUUAUAAUUUUGAUUAAAAUACAUUCAGAUGCACUUUUCAUUGCGUUUUUACUCCACAAAUGAGACCUUUGCACUCAGUAAGCACAUAUAUAUAGAUAUAUAUAUAUAAAUAGGUGUAAUGAUUAAUGGUGUGUAACAGUUUUGUACUUUACCAUACAUAAUUCAGGUGCCGAUCUAGGAAUGAUUGCAUAUGGGGGCAGGUUGGGGGAGAGGAGGUCUACAUGUAACUAUAUUACUAUUGUAUAUUAAUGGUGAAUGCACUUUUAAGUGGCAAACAAAAUUUGAUCCAGGAAUAUCUGUAGGUGGUGGUGGGGGGAGGAGAUGGGUUUCUAUAUGUAACUACUUGAAUGGAACUUGUAUAUUAACGGUGAAUGCAUUUUAAAGUGGGGAGGGGGACCCCCUCAAAAUGCCCUGGAUCUGCACCUUGUUGUGUAAUACAGUGAUUACACCGAUUGAUUGGAGUUUGACGCCCAAUAGCCGAUAUAUUUCUCGUGCUGUGGUGUCGAUAAACAUUCAUUCAUUCAUUCAUUCAUUCAUUCCAAUUGACUGGACUUUCUAUGUUACAAUAAUGAAAAUGAUCACAAUAAUAAUAUUUCUUUUCAACAUCACCUGUCCUCAAACAAAUGCAUUUUCCCCUAAGGAUAGUAGUCUGGUUCGAACAUCCCAACAACCAAUGGGAUGGCUUAACAUUCUUCAACUGCACACCACUUCCUGUCCCGGUCACUCCAAGUUUUCUCCAUGUCUUUUGUAUGCAUCUCGAAUAAAGGUCACGAGAUGAUAAUUUUGAUUGGUUGUCGUGAAUGUAAUUUGCACCAGAUGUAUUCACCUGUUACUUUGAUUACUGUUUCAAUAUGCAGUUACUUCUAAAGAGAGGAAGUCCACACUCAAUAAUUGGUAUUCCAUAUACAGUGAAACCCCCUCUAAACCGGACACCCUCAAACCAAGUAAAAUGUCUGGUUUUAACAGGUAUCUAUCUGGUUUAGAGAGGUUAAGCUAUGUAUGGAUUUCGAAAAAGGGACCAUGAAAAAUGUCCGGCUUUUUUUUUCUGCUUUUUUUUUCUGCUUUUUUUUUCUUUCUUUUUUAGGGAAUUCCGGUUUACAAAGGGUCUGGUUUUGGGAAGUUUCACUGUAUUUGAAAUCAGGGGUCGAAAUAGUGUCAUCCCAACCAGUUUUUGCCAGUCAACAUCUUUUUCCUUUUUUUCUUUUUUUUCACUGUCCUGCUGGCAAUUAUUUUAUGUUUAUAUUAGUUUUGAGUGAAACAUGUUUGGUCCGGCAGAUUUUGAUUCGGGCUGGUAGAAUUCAUAGCUUGCCGGACCUAAUCUCCAAUUUCAAGCCCUGGAAACAAGUAGCUGUUAGUUCCCAGUCCAACCAGAUGGGACUAGGUUUUGUAACCAUCCUUCUGUCUGUUUGUCUGUACAUCUGUCUGUCUGUACAUCUGUCUUUCUGUCUGUUUGUCCCUAUGUUGCAUAGACUCGCUAUGCUUAUAGAUAGCGAGCUGAAAUUUUAUGUAUAGCUUUUUUGUGUCCCGUUACAGUUCAAGUUUGACUUUCAGGGCGAUUUACUCAUUGUUCACAGAGUUAUGUCCCUUGAAGUUGGGAGAUAGAAAAAUAUGUUAGACCCGGUAUGGGACAUGUAUUGGUUUAGCAGUACUCACAGAAUGUUUGUGUUUUUUAACAGAGAAAGUCUACCCUUAGUUGAUAAUCCCUGUAUUUAUGUGUUUAUAGUAUAAACUGAAUUAUUUGUGUAUAUAUAUAUAUAUAUAUAUAUUAGUGUUACCAUGUAACAUUAAACAUAUUGGUACUUUA
rnacentral:misc_RNA from 1 species